GAAGGGCGGGCUAAACCCGCGUACAUGCCACCGGGGCAUCCCGGAGGCAGGAAAGGCUUCGGCCGGACAGGGAUGGGCAUGCGGCGCAUUAGGCAGUAGGCGGGGUAACGGCCCACCUAACCGACGAUGCGUAGGGGUUCUGAGAGGAAGGUCCCCCACACUGGUACUGAGACACGGACCAGACUCCUACGGGAGGCAGCAGUGAGGAAUAUUGGUCAAUGGUCGGGAGACUGAACCAGCCAAGCCGCGUGAGGGAUGAAGGUACAGAGUAUCGUAAACCUCUUUUGUCGGGGAACAAAGGCGGGGACGUGUCCCCGGAUGAGUGUACCUGAAGAAAAAGCAUCGGCUAACUCCGUGCCAGCAGCCGCGGUAAUACGGAGGAUGCGAGCGUUAUCCGGAUUUAUUGGGUUUAAAGGGUGCGCAGGCGGUCUGUUAAGCCAGCGGUCAAAGCCCGGGGCUCAACCCCGGCCCGCCGUUGAAACUGGCAGUCUCGAGUUGGAGAGAAGUAUGCGGAAUGCGCGGUGUAGCGGUGAAAUGCAUAGAUAUCGCGCAGAACUCCGAUUGCGAAGGCAGCAUGCCGGCUCCACACUGACGCUGAGGCACGAAAGCGUGGGUAUCGAACAGGAUUAGGUACCCUGGUAGUCC
rnacentral:rRNA from 1 species